AGCGAACGCUGGCGGCAGGCUUAACACAUGCAAGUCGAACGGGCGUAGCAAUACGUCAGUGGCAGACGGGUGAGUAACGCGUGGGAACGUACCUUUUGGUUCGGAACAACACAGGGAAACUUGUGCUAAUACCGGAUAAGCCCUUACGGGGAAGAUUUAUCGCCGAAAGAUCGGCCCGCGUCUGAUUAGCUAGUUGGUGAGGUAACGGCUCACCAAGGCGACGAUCAGUAGCUGGUCUGAGAGGAUGAUCAGCCACACUGGGACUGAGACACGGCCCAGACUCCUACGGGAGGCAGCAGUAGGGAAUCUUGCGCAAUGGGCGAAAGCCUGACGCAGCCAUGCCGCGUGAAUGAUGAAGGUCUUAGGAUUGUAAAAUUCUUUUCACCGGGGACGAUAAUGACGGUACCCGGAGAAGAAGCCCGGCUAACUUCGUG
rnacentral:rRNA from 1 species